AUUGAACGCUGGCGGCAGGCCUCACACAUGCAAGUCGAACGAGUGGCGGACGGGUGAGUAAUGUCGGGGAAACUGCCUGAUGGAGGGGGAUAACUACUGGAAACGGUAGCUAAUACCGCAUACCCUCAGAUGUGCCCAGAUGGGAUUAGCGAGUAGGUGGGGUAAUGGCUCACCUAGGCGACGAUACCUAGCUGGUCUGAGAGGAUGACCAGACAAACUGGAACUGAGACACGGUCCAGACGCCUACGGGAGGCAGCAGUGGGGAAUAGUGCACAAUGGGCGCAAGCCUGAUGCAGACAUGCCGCGUGUGUGAAGAAGGCCUGCGGGUAGUAAAGCACUUUCAGCGAGGAGGCGUUACUCGCAGAAGAAGCACCGGCUAAUUCCGUGCCAGCAGCCGCGGUAAUUC
rnacentral:rRNA from 1 species